AAAUCACUACACUAUUCCUAUAAAAUGACUCUCUCGCUCAUGGUAAAUUCAAACUUAAUAUUGUUGAAUCAUUUCAAAAUUAGUAUAUCACCGAUGGGGUGGGUAGUGUUAUUAGAGAUCACUCUGGCCAUUCGAUUCAGGGUUUUUUGGGUCACGAUAUGGCAAUAAACAAUACUGAAAUGGAACUAAAAGCCUUAUGUUGGGCCUGCAAUUAGCCAUGAUCCAUGCUUGUACCCUACAAGAAGCGGAG
rnacentral:lncRNA from 1 species